rnacentral:lncRNA from 1 species
AAGGAUGUGCAAGGCACAAGGCUUAUGGCAUGUGAGCCAAGCCACCUACAAAACAAAGAGGUUAGGCAAUGAUACUUGAGUAAGCUCAAUCAAAAGAAUUGGUCUUAAUGGCCAUUUGAGGUCAACCUGAAAACACAAGCUCAAAGGUGAGUAACAGGACCACUAGGACAAGCCUAGGGUCAAAGAUGAAUGAGAAAGUCAAAACAGCAAGGGUUAAGCAUCCAAAAUCAUGUUCAAACAAUUAGGAAACAAAACCAAUUGGAUUCACACUCAUAUCAAUCAUCAUCAUCAUCUCAUGAACCAUUAGGUCAAAACAUGGCAAACAGAAGCUCACAGAAGUCAACAGCAAGACUUAACUCAAAAGCAAUCUAAACAUUUUCCAAAAAUCA